CUUUCAGCCGAUGGAUAUCUUGGCUCGGGCACCU
rnacentral:rRNA from 1 species